rnacentral:rRNA from 1 species
GAUUAUGGCUCAGAACGAACGCUGGCGGCAGGCCUAACACAUGCAAGUCGAGCGCGCCCUUCGGGGUGAGCGGCGGACGGGUUAGUAACGCGUGGGAACGUACCCUUUGGUAGGGAAUAGCCACUGGAAACGGUGAGUAAUACCCUAUGAGCCCUUCGGGGGAAAGAUUUAUCGCCAAAGGAUCGGCCCGCGUUAGAUUAGGUAGUUGGUGGGGUAAUGGCCUACCAAGCCUACGAUCUAUAGCUGGUUUUAGAGGAUGAUCAGCAACACUGGGACUGAGACACGGCCCAGACUCCUACGGGAGGCAGCAGUGGGGAAUCUUGGACAAUGGGGGCAACCCUGAAUCCAGCCAUGCCGCGUGAGUGAAGAAGGCCUUAGGGUCGUAAAGCUCUUUCGCCUGUGAAGAUAAUGACGGUAGCAGGUAAAGAAACCCCGGCUAACUCCGUGCCAGCCGCUGC